GCAGUCGAGCGGAACGACACAUUGACCCUUCGGGUGAUUUGUUGGGCGUCGAGCGGCGGACGGGUGAGUAAUGCCUGGGAAAUUGCCCUGAUGUGGGGGAUAACCAUUGGAAACGAUGGCUAAUACCGCAUAAUGUCUACGGACCAAAGAGGGGGACCUUCGGGCCUCUCGCUUCAGGAUAUGCCCAGGUGGGAUUAGCUAGUUGGUGAGGUAAUGGCUCACCAAGGCGACGAUCCCUAGCUGGUCUGAGAGGAUGAUCAGCCACACUGGAACUGAGACACGGUCCAGACUCCUACGGGAGGCAGCAGUGGGGAAUAUUGCACAAUGGGCGCAAGCCUGAUGCAGCCAUGCCGCGUGUAUGAAGAAGGCCUUCGGGUUGUAAAGUACUUUCAGUCGUGAGGAAGGCGUUGAAGUUAAUAGCUUCAUCGUUUGACGUUAGCGACAGAAGAAGCACCGGCUAACUCCGUGCCAGCAGCCGCGGUAAUACGGAGGGUGCGAGCGUUAAUCGGAAUUACUGGGCGUAAAGCGCAUGCAGGUGGUUUGUUAAGUCAGAUGUGAAAGCCCGGGGCUCAACCUCGGAACCGCAUUUGAAACUGGCAGGCUAGAGUACUGUAGAGGGGGGUAGAAUUUCAGGUGUAGCGGUGAAAUGCGUAGAGAUCUGAAGGAAUACCAGUGGCGAAGGCGGCCCCCUGGACAGAUACUGACACUCANAUGCGAAAGCGUGGGGAGCAAACAGGAUUANAUACCCUNNNAGUCCACGCCGUAAACGAUGUCUACU
rnacentral:rRNA from 1 species